rnacentral:rRNA from 1 species
GACGAACGCUGGCGGCGUGCUUAACACAUGCAAGUCGAACGGAAAGGCUCCAGCUUGCUGGAGUGCUCGAGUGGCGAACGGGUGAGUAACACGUGGGCAAUCUGCCCUGCACUCUGGGAUAAGCCUGGAAAACUGGGUCUAAUACCGGAUAGGACCUUUCUCCUCAUGGGGUUUGGUGGAAAGUUUUUCGGUGCAGGAUGAGCCCGCGGCCUAUCAGCUUGUUGGUGGGGUAAUGGCCUACCAAGGCGACGACGGGUAGCCGGCCUGAGAGGGUGAUCGGCCACAUUGGGACUGAGAUACGGCCCAGACUCCUACGGGAGGCAGCAGUGGGGAAUAUUGCACAAUGGGCGAAAGCCUGAUGCAGCGACGCCGCGUGAGGGAUGACGGCCUUCGGGUUGUAAACCUCUUUCAGUAGGGACGAAGCGCAAGUGACGGUACCUGCAGAAGAAGCACCGGCUAACUACGUG